GUAGAUCAAACUGAUUCAAUCACUUACAUUAAUGUCUCUCUUUCACUCUCCUUCACAAUCUCCAGAUUCAGUGUCUCUGAUAGUGCUGGUUUCUGCUGCUGUUGCUGGAUCUCUGUUGAUUGUCACUGCAGUCAUGAUCUUCUGCAUCUGCUGGAAACACAGAAAAACUGAUCAAGAAGUUGAGACUUGUGAAGUAGUGAUCAUUUAUGUCGAGACAACAUUCUACAAAGAAAACGCACAGAAAACGAAAGCUGAAGAGGAGAGUCAUGUGGUAUAUUCACCAAUCACAAUCAGAUGAUGAUCAAACUUCACUGUUGUUCUAAGUACAAGACUCUUAUUGUCAGAUCAUUUUCAUUGGGAAUCUCCUGCAACGACCUCAGACACUGUGGUCUAUGGAUGAGCAUUUUCUUUGCAGCAAUUUUCAUGUUUGCAAAACAUAGAUGCAAACUAUCCAUCAAAAGGUGAUAAAGUAAACUCUGCUGUGGUAUUGGUUGAUUAUAUUUAAAUCUGUACAGAAAUGUGGUUUGAUCGUUUGGGUAGAAAAAAGAGCUUGAGCAUGAGAAUGUGUCUACUGCUGGAUGCUUGCAUUUGAUGGCAGUUUGUUAGUGUGUGUGUCUAAGGUGUCAAUAGUAGCCUAUGUCAGUCCAUGUGAUCAGCAUGUCGUUGCAAGGAUUUUUCAUUUAUGCUCACAUGAAACCUUUAACUUCUGCUCUACAGGGAAGCCACUUUACUUCAAAAUAUUAAAACCAUUAGUGCAUGGGCAAAAAAGGUAACACACAAGUGAGAGCUUGAACCUUUUUUUUUCUGAGUGUAGUUCCAAUUCUUUCUAAGCAGAACUAUUUGUGAUCCCUUUUUUAUAACGGAUAUACCCCGUUUUUUCUGCCAUUCAUUUAUAGAAUAAAUUCAAUGUAUGAUUUACA
ensembl:lncRNA